GCAACGGAGGAGCAGCUACGUCAUGGUGGCGGGUUCUCAGCGCUGAGGCCAGGUGGAACCAUCAGUGCACCUUCCAGCCGCUGUAUCCGACGUCCUCCUCCGCCUUGCGCUGUCGUUCCUGCCCCGGCUGGUCCCGAGCUACCUCCCGGGAGUCUUCCCCGCAGCGGCCCGCCGGCCUCGGCCUUGGCCGCGGUGGGACGAUGCUGGAGUCUAUUCGCGUGACGGAAAAGCUUCACUGGCCUGAGCAUGAACUUGCUAAGAAGUCUGUUCUAAAUGCAGAAGAGGCAUUGAUCAUUGACAGCAAAAGAAGCUUUUCAAGUUUGUCCCCUGGAGUGCUCAAGGACACUUUUACAACUGGAACCAGUAGUUACAAUGUUCUACUACAAAGCAAGGAGGAGAGAAAGCACCAUUCACAAAAGCAAUUUUCCUCUACCUUCUCCAAAAGACGUAGAAAGCCCAGCAAAUCUCCUAGUUCCUCUCAUAGCAAAGAUUCUCACAGGAUGACAGCCCUAGUGCCUGUGACCAGCAGUGGUACUUGGUACUGCCUAGACAGGCAGUCUGCUGUUUUUGUCCCUAGUCCAGUACCAAGUCCUGUAAAGUUUACCCGUGGUAUCUCUGUUACAGGGAGCGGCCUAGCACUGCCACCUAAACCGAAAAGCAAGGUGAGCCGCCGUAGUGUCACCCCCGUCCCAAAGCCCAAGCAGCAACCUCAGUUGUGUAGAAGCUUUGAGAAGGGAGACGAGCUUUCUGGGAAGAAGCUCUGUAUCCUAACUGCCAUAAAGCCCACCAACCUGGAGAAAGAAAAGCUGCGGUUCUUCAAGUCGGACUAUACUUACAACCCUCAGUUUGAAUAUGCCAACCCCGCUCUGCCUGGUGUGUUAGCCAAACACAGCAACGCCUCUGACCGAUUUCUUAAGCAGUCCAUCAAUAUUAUGGAGCUGACUUUACAGAAAUACGGAAGCUAUGAGAAAUUCGAACAAGCUACUGGUGGUAGCUUGUUGUCUAAAACUCGAAUCUGGAGUCAUGUUAGGAAGUACAUGGUGAAGGAAGGCUGCCUAGGAGAGAUUGUAGUUCAUCUUACUGAAGACCUGCUUUCCAGGGCAUCCAUGACAGUGGUAAAUGGAUGCCCAACUCUAACCAUCAAUAUUUCUACUGCGCGAGAGCACUGGUUGGAGGGGAUGCUGAGGCAUGAGAUAGGCACGCAUUACUUUCGGGGAAUUAACAACCUCCAGCAGCCAUGGAACAGUUGGACUGGCCGCAAAAAACAUGAGCUAAAGCCAAACAACCCUACAGAGGAAGGGCUGGCCAGCAUUCAUAGCGUCCUGUUCAGAAAAGACCCCUUCCUAUGGAGGGCUGCCCUCCUUUACUAUACAGUGUAUCAAGCCAGCCAGAUGUCUUUCUGUGAACUCUUUAAAGAUAUCGGCAAGUUUGUAAAGGACCCUAAUACAAGAUGGGAUUACUGUGUAAGAGCCAAGAGAGGGUGGACUGAUACUUCCCAGCCAGGGUGUUUCAGUAAAGACCAGGUGUACUUGGAUGGAAUCCUUCAAAUCCUUCGAUUCAGAGAGUCCAUAGACUUUCAUCUGCUGACUGCCCUGGGCAAGGUGUCUUAUGAAGAUGUGGAUCGCUUAAAAGGGUUGGCAGUUACUGAGAACAUGAGAGUGCCCCACUUCCUGCAGGACCACAGCCGCUACAUGGAGCACUUGGAGAGGAUCAUGGAGGUGAAUGAGCUGACUGAUGCCGAGUUGAAAGACCUCAUCUAAGCAGUGGCGGCGACUCCUCCAUGGCUGCUAGUGGCUGGGGCACCUAGCGCCUGCACCGUAGAGGAGAGUGGUGGCUGAGCUCAGCUUUCCGAAGACCAGCCCUCAGUAUCCAGCUGAAAUUUAGGUUAUAUGUACACCUGAAACUAUUUUCCUAAAAUGUUUCUAUAGCCUGCAGGUGGAAGUCACUUAUCUUCAUCCAGGUCUCAGCAGAGACGAAUGGAGAUUGCUGCUGCUGAAGACUCCGGGAUGAACUGUAAACCUGAGCACCGAGGCCAGCUCCAGGGUGGAGGUGGCCAAGUUCCACGCUGUACUGUAUAAACUCCAAGGUUCUAUUUCCUCUGCUAAACAGUGGUGAUGGUUCUUCUUCAAAAUACUCAUUUUGUAACUCGCCAAAAGGCUGGCAAUAUCUGAGAGUUCUUAUUUUUCCUAUGUGCUGUGGGCUGACCUCAGGCUCUGCACACACUGGACAAGCACCCUACCACCCAGCUGGACACGCACCCUACCACUGAGCUGGACAAGCAC